GAUGAACGCUGGCGGCGUGCCUAAUACAUGCAAGUCGAGCGAACGGACGAGAAGCUUGCUUUUCUGAUGUUAGAGGCGGACGGGUGAGUAACACGUGGAUAACCUACCUAUAAGACUGGGAUAACUUCGGGAAACCGGAGCUAAAACCGGCUAAUAUUUUGAACCCCAUGGUUCAGAAGUGAAAGACGGUCUUGCUGUCACUUAUAGAUGGAUCCGCGCUGCAUUAGCUAGUUGGUAAGGUAACGGCUUACCAAGGCAACGAUGCAUAGCCGACCUGAGAGGGUGAUCGGCCACACUGGAACUGAGACACGGUCCAGACUCCUACGGGAGGCAGCAGUAGGGAAUCUUCCGCAAUGGGCGAAAGCCUGACGGAGCAACGCCGCGUGAGUGAUGAAGGUCUUCGGAUCGUAAAACUCUGUUAUUAGGGAAGAACAUAUGUGUAAGUAACUGUGCACAUCUUGACGGUACCUAAUCAGAAAGCCACGGCUAACUACGUG
rnacentral:rRNA from 1 species